GAUGAACGCUGGCGGCGUGCCUAAUACAUGCAAGUCGAGCGAAGCGGGGACGGGUGAGUAACACGUGGAUAACCUCCUCUAAGACUGGGAUAACUUUGGGAAACCGGAGCUAAACCGGAUACUUCACGAUGGACCCGCGCUGCAUUGGCUAGUUGGUAAGGUAACGGCUUACCAAGGCAACGAUGCAUAGCCGACCUGAGAGGGUGAUCGGCCCCACUGGAACUGCGAAACGGUCCAGACUCCUACGGGAGGCAGCAGUAGGGACUCUUCCGCAAUGGGCGAAGGCCUGACGGAGCAACGCCGCGUGGGUGAUGAGGGUCUUCGGAUCGUAAAACUCUGUUAUUGGGGAAGCGGUACCUAAUCAGAAAGCCACGGCUAACUACGUGCCAGCAGCCGCGGUAAUAC
rnacentral:rRNA from 1 species